rnacentral:rRNA from 1 species
CUACACAUGCAAGUCGAGCGGUAACAUUUCAAAAGCUUGCUUUUGAAGAUGACGAGCGGCGGACGGGUGAGUAAUGCCUGGGAAUUUGCCCAUUUGUGGGGGAUAACAGUUGGAAACGACUGCUAAUACCGCAUACGCCCUACGGGGGAAAGCAGGGGACCUUCGGGCCUUGCGCUGAUGGAUAAGCCCAGGUGGGAUUAGCUAGUAGGUGAGGUAAAGGCUCACCUAGGCGACGAUCCCUAGCUGGUCUGAGAGGAUGAUCAGCCACACUGGGACUGAGACACGGCCCAGACUCCUACGGGAGGCAGCAGUGGGGAAUAUUGCACAAUGGGGGAAACCCUGAUGCAGCCAUGCCGCGUGUGUGAAGAAGGCCUUCGGGUUGUAAAGCACUUUCAGCGAGGAGGAAAGGGUGUAAGUUAAUACCUUACAUCUGUGACGUUACUCGCAGAAGAAGCACCGGCUAACUCCGUGCCAGCAGCCGCGGUAAUACGGAGGGUGCGAGCGUUAAUCGGAAUUACUGGGCGUAAAGCGUGCGCAGGCGGUUUGUUAAGCGAGAUGUGAAAGCCCCGGGCUCAACCUGGGAACCGCAUUUCGAACUGGCAAACUAGAGUCUUGUAGAGGGGGGUAGAAUUCCAGGUGUAGCGGUGAAAUGCGUAGAGAUCUGGAGGAAUACCGGUGGCGAAGGCGGCCCCCUGCACAAAGACUGACGCUCAGGCACGAAAGCGUGGGGAGCAAACAGGAUUAGAUA